rnacentral:rRNA from 1 species
AGUGAACGCUGGCGGUAGGCCUAACACAUGCGAGUCGAACGGCAGCACAGUAAGAGCUUGCUCUUACGGGUGGCGAGUGGCGGACGGGUGAGGAAUACAUCGGAAUCUACUUUUUCGUGGGGGAUAACGUAGGGAAACUUAUGCUAAUACCGCAUACGACCUACGGGUGAAAGCAGGGGAUCUUCGGACUUUGCGCGAUUGAAUGAGCCGAUGUCGGACUAGCUAGUUGGCGGGGUAAAGGCCCACCAAGGCGACGAUCCGUAGCUGGUCUGAGAGGAUGAUCGGCCACACUGGAACUGAGACACGGUCCAGACUCCUACGGGAGGCAGCAGUGGGGAAUAUUGGGCAAUGGGCGCAAGCCUGAUCCAGCAAUACCGCGUGAGUGAAGAAGGCCUUCGGGUUGUAAAGCCCUUUUGUUGGGAAAGAAAAGCAGCAGGUUAAUACCCCGCUGUUCUGACGGUACCCAAAGAAUAAGCACCGGCUAACUUCGUG